UACAUGAGUAGUAAGCGUUGUUUAUAAUUGUUAGGUGUAAAAAUUUCUAUGAUAAGAAAAAAUUAAUUUAUAUGUUUAAAUUAGUUUUUUUAAAUUUAGUUUAAAACUAUGAUUUUUGGGGGUAAUUAGUAAAGGUAAAAUUUGUUAAUAAACUUCUUCUCAUCAAUGGUAAAGUCAAGUUUUAUAAAAUUUUAGAAUGAAAGUAUAGGUAAUAACAAGGAUUAGAGACCCUUUUAAGCUAUACCGUAAAUUAUAACAAAUCAAUUAGGUUGUAGUUAACGUAAGAUUUGUUUACCGGGGUAGUAAAGUUGCAAAACUUAAACUUAAAAAAAUUGGCGGGACUUUUUAAAUGGUGGAACAUGUGAUUUAAUGCGGUAAUCCUCGCAAAAGCUCACUAACACAUUGUUGGGUAAAACUAUUUUAAAUAAUAGGUUUUAUUAACCAGCAAUAGGUAUUGCAUGGCUGUCGUCAGUUCGGGUUUUAAAAUGUGGUAUUUAGUUAUCUAUCGAACGUAAUUUUUAUAUUUAUUUUAAUAAAUAUGGUAAAUGGUGUUUUUUUUUAAAAAAGAAGUCAAGUCUUUAUGGUCUGUUUGUGUUAGGCCACACACGUGUUACAAAAAAAAAAUAAAACAAAACUUUAACUUAUAGCGAUAUUAGUUAGUUAAAAAUUUAGUAUUAAUCGAUUGUUAAUUUUAGUCAUUAACAUAAAAUUGAAAUCAUCAGUAAUCGUAGUUUAAAAUGAUACGGGGAAGUUUUUUAAAAGUUUGCACACCCCGCCCAUCACGCUCGAAAAGUUAAAUGGUUUAAAGUAACGGCUUUUAUAAUAUUAUUAAAGUAAAAUUAUUUAGUAGCUUUUACCCAUCCUUAUUUAAUAAUUUGAGUGAAG
rnacentral:rRNA from 1 species